rnacentral:rRNA from 1 species
AGAUUAAGUUAUUAAGGGCGCACGGUGGAUGCCUUGGCACUAGAAGCCGAUGAAGGACGUUACUAACGACGAUAUGCUUUGGGGAGCUGUAAGUAAGCUUUGAUCCAGAGAUUUCCGAAUGGGGAAACCCAGCAUGAGUUAUGUCAUGUUAUCGAUAUGUGAAUACAUAGCAUAUCAGAAGGCACACCCGGAGAACUGAAACAUCUUAGUACCCGGAGGAAGAGAAAGAAAAUUCGAUUCCCUUAGUAGCGGCGAGCGAAACGGGAAGAGCCCAAACCAACAAGCUUGCUUGUUGGGGUUGUAGGACACUCUAUACGGAGUUACAAAGGACGACAUUAGACGAAUCAUCUGGAAAGAUGAAUCAAAGAAGGUAAUAAUCCUGUAGUCGAAAAUGUUGUCUCUCUUGAGUGAAUCCUGAGUACGACGGAGCACGUGAAAUUCCGUCGGAAUCUGGGAGGACCAUCUCCUAAGGCUAAAUACUCUCUAGUGACCGAUAGUGAACCAGUACCGUGAGGGAAAGGUGAAAAGCACCCCGGAAGGGGAGUGAAAUAGAACCUGAAACCGUGUGCUUACAAGUAGUCAGAGCCCGUUAAUGGGUGAUGGCGUGCCUUUUGUAGAAUGAACCGGCGAGUUACGAUUUGAUGCAAGGUUAAGCAGUAAAUGUGGAGCCGUAGCGAAAGCGAGUCUGAAUAGGGCGUUUAGUAUUUGGUCGUAGACCCGAAACCAGGUGAUCUACCCUUGGUCAGGUUGAAGUUCAGGUAACACUGAAUGGAGGACCGAACCGACUUACGUUGAAAAGUGAGCGGAUGAACUGAGGGUAGCGGAGAAAUUCCAAUCGAACCUGGAGAUAGCUGGUUCUCUCCGAAAUAGCUUUAGGGCUAGCCUCAAGUGAUGAUUAUUGGAGGUAGAGCACUGUUUGGACGAGGGGCCCCUCUCGGGUUACCGAAUUCAGACAAACUCCGAAUGCCAAUUAAUUUAACUUGGGAGUCAGAACAUGGGUGAUAAGGUCCAUGUUCGAAAGGGAAACAGCCCAGACCACCAGCUAAGGUCCCAAAAUAUAUGUUAAGUGGAAAAGGAUGUGGCGUUGCCCAGACAACUAGGAUGUUGGCUUAGAAGCAGCCAUCAUUUAAAGAGUGCGUAAUAGCUCACUAGUCGAGUGACACUGCGCCGAAAAUGUACCGGGGCUAAACAUAUUACCGAAGCUGUGGAUUGUCCUUUGGACAAUGGUAGGAGAGCGUUCUAAGGGCGUUGAAGCAUGAUCG